rnacentral:snRNA from 1 species
GGACAUUCGUCGUGCUCAUACACUAAAAUUGGAAUGACACAGAGAAGAUUAGCAUAGUCUCUGUGCAAAGAUGACAUGCAAAUUUGUGAAGGACGUUAGGACAUUUGU